rnacentral:rRNA from 1 species
UGCAGUCGAGCGCCCCUUUCGGGGGGAGCGGCGGACGGGUGAGUAACGCGUGGGAACGUGCCCUUCCCUACGGAAUAGCCCCGGGAAACUGGGAUUAACACCGUAUACGCCCUUCGGGGGAAAGAUUUAUCGGGGAAGGAUCGGCCCGCGUCUGAUUAGGUAGUUGGUGGGGUAACGGCCUACCAAGCCGACGAUCAGUAGCUGGUUUGAGAGGAUGAUCAGCCACACUGGGACUGAGACACGGCCCAGACUCCUACGGGAGGCAGCAGUGGGGAAUCUUAGACAAUGGGGGCAACCCUGAUCUAGCCAUGCCGCGUGAGUGACGAAGGCCCUAGGGUCGUAAAGCUCUUUCGCCGGGGAAGAUAAUGACGGUACCCGGUAAAGAAGUCCCGGCUAACUCCGUGCCAGCAGCCGCGGUAAUACGGAGGGGACUAGCGUUGUUCGGAAUUACUGGGCGUAAAGCGCGCGUAGGCGGACUAUUAAGUCAGGGGUGAAAUCCCGGGGCUCAACCCCGGAACUGCCCUUGAUACUGGUAGUCUGGAGUUCUGGAGAGGUGAGUGGAAUUCCGAGUGUAGAGGUGAAAUUCGUAGAUAUUCGGAGGAACACCAGUGGCGAAGGCGGCUCACUGGCCAGAUACUGACGCUGAGGUGCGAAAGUGUGGGGAGCAAACAGGAUUAGAUACCCUGGUAGUCCACACCGUAAACGAUGAAUGCCAGACGUCGGGCAGCAUGCUGUUCGGUGUCACACCU